rnacentral:lncRNA from 1 species
AACUGCACAAGAGGUGCUUUGUCUCCAGAGGCUCACUGGUUAUUAGAGAGAGCACAUAUACACAGACAAAUAGAUAUAGAUAUAGAUAUAGAUAUAUAUGCACAUUGCAGGCUAUGCAUACCUCCUUGGAAGCCAUGCUCAAGAAUAAAAAUAACAAAUAAAAUCCUCAAGUCUUCAUAUACCAUAAGUUAUGACUUCUGAUUAUUUAAAACCAUGAGAAGAUAACUGGAUAAAGAUGCACUGGACAAGAGAUUCAGGGAGCUCUCAUGAAUAUUAACUGCUCACCCUAGGAUGUUAUUUGCCUUCUCCUUCACCCCUUCUUUCUCUUGCAUAUACUUUCAACCCGUGCCAUUAACAGCAGCAGUAGAAGAAGUGUCCCCAUAGCAGUGAGUACCUACCUGCACAGAUAAUGAAAAAUGGGUGCCUGCCACAGACAGGUCACAGCCUGGCUUUCUGAAGGGACAAAACAGAUGAUGGAAAGAGACAAAUCGUGGGUUGUUCUUCCCCUAAUUUAACACCUCUGCAAUACCACAUCGCUGCCUCCUUUUUGCUUCAGCCUCAGCAUCAGAAGUUUCCCCACCCAGCACUGCAGGGACUACCACCAAGGCUCCAUCAUCUGACAGACGGUGGAAAGAAGAAAAUGUAUAGAGAAGAUGUACAGUGAUAAAGCACUUCAUAGCUGAUCUUCUAGAACUCGUUAAGCACUUCAUAUCCCCAUA